AUUGAACGCUGGCGGCAGGCCUAACACAUGCAAGUAGAGCGAGCGGCGGACGGGUGAGUAAUGUAUGGGGACUGCCCGACAGGGGGGGAUAACUACUGGAAACGGUAGCUAAUACCGCAUACUAUCGGAUAACCCAUUUCGAGUUAGCUAGUGGGUGGGGUAAAGGCUCACCAAGGAAACGAUCCGUAGCUGGUUUGAGAGGACGACGGCCCACAUGGCGACUGAGCACCGGCCCAGAACCCUACGGAGGAGGCAGGGGGGAAUUUUGGACAAUGGGGGAACCCCUGAUCCAGCCAUCCCGCGUGUAUGAUGAAGGUCUUCGGGUGGAAAAGUACUUUGGGCAGAGAAGCGGUAGCUGCAGAAUAAGCACCGGCUAACUACGUGCCAGCAGCCGCGGUAAUUC
rnacentral:rRNA from 1 species